CCGUCGAUAGCUCAGUUGGCAGAGCGGUGGACUGUAGAUCCAUGGGUCAUGGUUCGACUCCGGCUCGGCGGA
rnacentral:tRNA from 1 species